GUAUAACUUACGUAUAAAUGCGUGAGCGUCUUCUUCUACGCCGGAAAUAGUGUUCUGAAUGAGAGACCGGUAAACGGUGGGGGCUUGCAGAGAUAACUAAUCAGGUGUUGUGAGAGUUCAUUUUAAGGUGUAUCCUAGCUGCCCAGCGCAAGCAGUCAACACAGCAUUUUAUUGAACAUUCCCUGAAAUAAAAGAAUGACUGGUUGACAGCUUCAAGAGAUACCUGUCUGACCUGGUGACCAUCUGGAUCUCAGGUAUGAAGCCCAAACUCUUUUCAUGGAAAGACAAGAAUUUGAGUUGACUCAGUCCCACAACUGGAGAUAAAGAGAACCCUGUUCAUGCUUUGUGGCACUGGGAAGAAACAGCUCCUAGAACCUUUCUACAGACAGACAGUGGCAGAGCCAGACAAUUUUCAUCAGGGUGACCAG